GAGCGAACAGAUAAGGAGCUUGCUCCUUUGACGUUAGCGGCGGACGGGUGAGUAACACGUGGGUAACCUACCUAUAAGACUGGGAUAACUUCGGGAAACCGGAGCUAAUACCGGAUAACAUUUGGAACCGCAUGGUUCUAAAGUGAAAGAUGGUUUUGCUAUCACUUAUAGAUGGACCCGCGCCGUAUUAGCUAGUUGGUAAGGUAACGGCUUACCAAGGCGACGAUACGUAGCCGACCUGAGAGGGUGAUCGGCCACACUGGAACUGAGACACGGUCCAGACUCCUACGGGAGGCAGCAGUAGGGAAUCUUCCGCAAUGGGCGAAAGCCUGACGGAGCAACGCCGCGUGAGUGAUGAAGGGUUUCGGCUCGUAAAACUCUGUUAUUAGGGAAGAACAAACGUGUAAGUAACUGUGCACGUCUUGACGGUACCUAAUCAGAAAGCCACGGCUAACUACGUGCCAGCAGCCGCGGUAAUACGUAGGUGGCAAGCGUUAUCCGGAAUUAUUGGGCGUAAAGCGCGCGUAGGCGGUUUCUUAAGUCUGAUGUGAAAGCCCACGGCUCAACCGUGGAGGGUCAUUGGAAACUGGGAAACUUGAGUGCAGAAGAGGAAAGUGGAAUUCCAUGUGUAGCGGUGAAAUGCGCAGAGAUAUGGAGGAACACCAGUGGCGAAGGCGACUUUCUGGUCUGUAACUGACGCUGAUGUGCGAAAGCGUGGGGAUCAAACAGGAUUAGAUACCCUGGUAGUCCACGCCGUAAACGAUGAGUGCUAAGUGUUAGGGGGGUUUCCGCCCCUUAGU
rnacentral:rRNA from 1 species